rnacentral:rRNA from 1 species
GAUGAACGCUAGCGGCAGGCCUAAUACAUGCAAGUCGAACGGUGUCUUCGGACAUAGUGGCGCACCGGUGCGUAACACGUACGCAACCUACCUUACAUUGGGGAUAGCCUUUCGAAAGGGAGAUUCAUACCGCAUAAGACAGUAGCUGGGCAUCCAGCAGCGGUUAAAGAUUUAUCGAUGUAAGCUGGGCAUGCGUCCAAUUAGCUAGUUGGUGAGGUAACGGCUCACAAAGGCAAUGAUUGGUAGGGGAACUGAGAGGUCAAUCCCCCACACUGGAACUGCGAUACGGGCCAGGCUCCUCCGGGAGGCAGCAGUGGGGAAUUUUGGACAAUGGGCGCAAGCCUGAUCCAGCCAUGCCGCGUGCAGGAUGAAGGCCUUCGGGUUGUAAACUGCUUUUGUACGGAACGAAAAGACUCUGGUUAAUACCUGGGGUCCAUGACGGUACCGUAAGAAUAAGCACCGGCUAACUACGUGCCAGCAGCCGCCGUAACAC